UACGAAGGGGGCUAGCGUUGCUCGGAAUCACUGGGCGUAAAGCGCACGUAGGCGGCUUUCUAAGUCAGGGGUGAAAUCCUGGAGCUCAACUCCAGAACUGCCUUUGAUACUGGAGAGCUUGAGUCCGGGAGAGGUGAGUGGAACUCCGAGUGUAGAGGUGAAAUUCGUAGAUAUUCGCAAGAACACCAGUGGCGAAGGCGGCUUACUGGUCCGGUUCUGACGCUGAGGCGCGAAAGCGUGGGGAGCAAACAGG
rnacentral:rRNA from 1 species